rnacentral:rRNA from 1 species
GAUGAACGCUGACAGAAUGCUUAACACAUGCAAGUCUUUGGCGAAGCUGUGCUUGCACAGCCUAGCCAAGGCGGACGGGUGAGUAACGCGUAAGGAACUUGCCCUGCAGUCAGGGAUAACAGACGGAAACGACUGAUAAGACCUGGUAAAGUCAGGUGGACUCAUGUCCAGCCUGAUGAAAAGAGAUGCUGCAGGAGAGCCUUGCGUCCUAUUAGCUUGUUGGUGGGGUAACGGCCCACCAAGGCGAUGAUAGGUAGCCGGCCUGAGAGGGUGGACGGCCACAAGGGGACUGAGAUACGGCCCUUACUCCUACGGGAGGCAGCAGUGGGGAAUAUUGGACAAUGGGGGCAACCCUGAUCCAGCAAUUCUGUGUGCACGAUGAAGGUUUUCGGAUUGUAAAGUGCUUUCAGCAGGGAAGAAAAAAAUGACGGUACCUGCAGAAGAAGCGACGGCUAAAUACGUGCCAGCAGCCGCGGUAAUACGUAUGUCGCAAGCGUUAUCCGGAAUUAUUGGGCAUAAAGGGCAUCUAGGCGGCCAGAUAAGUCUGGGGUGAAAACUUGCGGCUCAACCGCAAGCCUGCCCUGGAAACUAUGUGGCUAGAGUACUGGAGAGGUGGACGGAACUGCACGAGUAGAGGUGAAAUUCGUAGAUAUGUGCAGGAAUGCCGAUGAUGAAGAUAGUUCACUGGACGGUAACUGACGCUGAAGUGCGAAAGCUAGGGGAGCAAACAGG